UACGUAGGGGGCAAGCGUUGUCCGGAUUUAUUGGGCGUAAAGAGCGUGUAGGCGGCCAGGUAGGUCUGCUGUGAAAACUCGAGGCUUAACCUCGAGAUGUCGGCGGAAACCAUCUGGCUAGAGUCCGGAAGAGGAGAAUGGAAUUCCCGGUGUAGCGGUGAAAUGCGCAGAUAUCAGGAAGAACACCAAUGGCGAAGGCAGCUCUCUGGGACGGUACUGACGCUGAGACGCGAAAGCGUGGGGAGCGAACAGG
rnacentral:rRNA from 1 species